UACAGAGGGUGCAAGCGUUAAUCGGAAUUACUGGGCGUAAAGCGUGCGUAGUCGGUUAUCUAAGUCGGAUGUGAAAUCCCCGGGCUCAACCUGGGAAUUGCAUUCGAUACUGGAUAGCUAGAGUUCGGAAGAGGGAAGCGGAAUUCCUGGUGUAGCGGUGAAAUGCGUAGAUAUCAGGAGGAACACCUGCGGUGUAGACGGCUUACUGGACCAUCACUGACGCUGAGGCACGAAAGCGUGGGUAGCAAACAGG
rnacentral:rRNA from 1 species